GACGUAGGGCGCGAGCGUUGUCCGGAUUUAUUGGGCGUAAAGAGCUCGUAGGCGGCUUGUCGCGUCGACUGUGAAAUCCCGAGGCUCAACCUCGGGUCUGCAGUCGAUACGAGCAAACUAGAGUGUUGCAGGGGAGACUGGAAUUCCUGGUGUAGCGGUGAAAUGCGCAGAUAUCAGGAAGAACACCGAUGGCGAAGGCAGCUCUCUGGGACGGUACUGACGCUGAGACGCGAAAGCGUGGGGAGCGAACAGG
rnacentral:rRNA from 1 species